rfam:Canis lupus familiaris chromosome 6, whole genome shotgun sequence.
AGGGGCGAGGUGAUGUGGCUUUGACAUCCAUCAUUCCUUUGUCAGCACGGCUAAUUUCAUCUGACUUAGCUAGUUGGAAAGGUGGCCCCUUCCUCCCUCACUGAUCCUUGCAUGGCCUGCCUCAAGCUGUAUGCUAAGGCAAAGAAGUUGGUCUUCUAAGCUCUAUCUGGACUCUUCUUUGGUCAAGGCCAUCUAAAGAGCUGAAUCACUUUAAUAGAAAGUCUGAACUUGGAAUGGCAUUUGGAAGCAGCCCAAAUACCUGUUUUUGUGGCUGAGAAGAGACUCUAACAGGCAGACUAUGCUGUCACGGGGA